rnacentral:rRNA from 1 species
AGAGUUUGAUCCUGCUCAGGAUGAACGCUGGCGGCGUGCUUAACACAUGCAAGUCGAACGGAGGACCCUUGAAGGAGUUUUCGGACAACUGAUAGGAAUCCUUAGUGGCGGACGGGUGAGUAACGCGUGAGUAACCUGCCUUGGAGUGGGGAAUAACAGCUGGAAACAGCUGCUAAUACCGCAUAAUAUAUCUGGGUCGCAUGGCUCUGGAUAUCAAAGAUUUAUCGCUCUGAGAUGGACUCGCGUCUGAUUAGCUAGUUGGUGGGGCAACGGCCCACCAAGGCGACGAUCAGUAGCCGGACUGAGAGGUUGGCCGGCCACAUUGGGACUGAGACACGGCCCAGACUCCUACGGGAGGCAGCAGUGGGGAAUAUUGGGCAAUGGGCGGAAGCCUGACCCAGCAACGCCGCGUGAAGGAAGAAGGCUUUCGGGUUGUAAACUUCUUUUCUGAGGGACGAAGCAAGUGACGGUACCUUANGAAUAAGCCACGGCUAACUACGUGCCAGCAGCCGCGGUAAUACGUAGGUGGCAAGCGUUAUCCGGAUUUACUGGGUGUAAAGGGCGUGU